rnacentral:rRNA from 1 species
UACGUAGGGGGCAAGCGUUGUCCGGAUUUAGUGGGCGUAAAGAGCGUUUAGGCGGCCAUGUAGGUCCGUUGUGAAAACUCGAGGCUCAACCUCGAGACGCCGAUGGAAACCAUGCGGCUAGAGUCCGGAAGAGGAGAGUGGAAUUCCUGGUGUAGCGGUGAAAUGCGCAGAUAUCAGGAAGAACACCCGUGGCUAAGGCGGCUCUCUAGUACGGUACUGACGCUGAGACGCGAAAGCGUGGGGAGCGAACAGG